rnacentral:rRNA from 1 species
UACGGAGGGUGCGAGCGUUGUCCGGAAUCCCUGGGCGUAAAGGGCGCGUAGGCGGCGCGAGCAGUCGGCGGUGAAAGCCCGGAGCUCAACUCCGGGUCGGCCGUCGAUACUCUCGUGCUUGAGCACUGUAGAGGCAGGUGGAAUUCCGGGUGUAGCGGUGGAAUGCGUAGAGAUCCGGAAGAACACCGGUGGCGAAGGCGGGUCUCUGGACAGUUCCUGACGCUGAGGCACGAAGGUCAGGGGAGCAAACGGG